CCUACGGGAGGCUGCAGUGAGGAAUAUUGGUCAAUGGACGAGAGUCUGAACCAGCCAAGUAGCGUGAAGGAUGACUGCCCUAUGGGUUGUAAACUUCUUUUAUAUGGGAGUAAAAUGUUCCACGUGUGGGAUUUUGUAUGUACCAUAUGAAUAAGGAUCGGCUAACUCCGUGCCAGCAGCCGCGGUAAUACGGAGGAUCCGAGCGUUAUCCGGAUUUAUUGGGUGUAAAGGGAGCGUAGGUGGAUUGUUAAGUCAGUUGUGAAAGUUUGCGGCUCAACCGUAAAAUUGCAGUUGAAACUGGCAGUCUUGAGUACAGUAGAGGUGGGCGGAAUUCGUGGUGUAGCGGUGAAAUGCUUAGAUAUCACGAAGAACUCCGAUUGCGAAGGCAGUUCACUGGACUGCAACUGACACUGAGGCUCGAAAGUGUGGGUAUCAAACAGGAUUAGAUACCCGAGUAGUC
rnacentral:rRNA from 1 species